rnacentral:rRNA from 1 species
AUUGAACGCUGGCGGCAGGCCUAACACAUGCAAGUCGAGCGGAUGAAGGGAGCUUGCUCCUGGAUUCAGCGGCGGACGGGUGAGUAAUGCCUAGGAAUCUGCCUGGUAGUGGGGGAUAACGUCCGGAAACGGGCGCUAAUACCGCAUACGUCCUGAGGGAGAAAGUGGGGGAUCUUCGGACCUCACGCUAUCAGAUGAGCCUAGGUCGGAUUAGCUAGUUGGUGGGGUAAAGGCCUACCAAGGCGACGAUCCGUAACUGGUCUGAGAGGAUGAUCAGCCACACUGGAACUGAGACACGGUCCGGACUCCUACGGGAGGCAGCAGUGGGGAAUAUUGGACAAUGGGCGAAAGCCUGAUCCAGCCAUGCCGCGUGUGUGAAGAAGGUCUUCGGAUUGUAAAGCACUUUAAGUUGGGAGGAAGGGCAGUAAGUUAAUACCUUGCUGUUUUGACGUUACCAACAGAAUAAGCACCGGCUAACUUCGUG